rnacentral:rRNA from 1 species
CCACGGGUGGCUGCAGUGAGGAAUAUUGGUCAAUGGGCGUAAGCCUGAACCAGCCAAGUCGCGUGAGGGAUGAAGGUUCUAUGGAUCGUAAACCUCUUUUAUAAGGGACUAAAGUGCGGGACGUGUCCCGUUUUGUAUGUACCUUAUGAAUAAGGAUCGGCUAACUCCGUGCCAGCAGCCGCGGUAAUACGGAGGAGCCGAGCGUUAUCCGGAUUUAUUGGGUUUAAAGGGUGCGUAGGCGGCCUUUUAAGUCAGCGGUGAAAGUCUGUGGCUCAACCAUGGAAUUGCCGUUGAAACUGGGAGGCUAGAGUAUGUUUGAGGCAGGCGGAAUGCGUGGUGUAGCGGUGAAAUGCUUAGAUAUCACGCAGAACCCCGAUUGCGAAGGCAGCCUCCCAAGCCAUGACUGACGCUGAUGCACGAAAGCGUGGGGAUCAAACAGGAUUAGAUACCCCAGUAGUC